GAGCUGCGCCUGCGCAACUCAUUGGCGCCAAGAUGGCGAUGGAGAUGAGGCUUCCAGUGGCUCGCAAGCCUCUUAGCGAGAGACUGGGCCGCGACACUAAGAAACAUCUAGUGGUGCCGGGGGAUACAAUCACUACGGACACAGGAUUCAUGCGGGGCCAUGGAACGUAUAUGGGAGAAGAGAAGCUCAUUGCAUCUGUUGCUGGCUCUGUGGAGAGAGUAAACAAGUUGAUCUGUGUGAAAGCUUUGAAAACCAGAUACAUUGGUGAAGUAGGAGACAUCGUAGUGGGACGAAUCACAGAGGUUCAACAGAAGAGGUGGAAGGUGGAGACCAACUCCAGGCUGGAUUCGGUCUUGCUGCUCUCGUCCAUGAACCUUCCUGGAGGAGAGCUGAGGAGAAGAUCUGCAGAAGAUGAGCUUGCAAUGAGAGGUUUCUUACAGGAAGGGGACCUUAUCAGUACAGCCACGUUGAUGUACAUGGAGUAGGCAGAGGACUGCUGCAGUAUGCUGACUUUCACAACCCUGGGUCCUGCGGACUCUUCCUUGGCAGGACGUGGACUUGAGCUGUCCUGCCAGGACCAGACAUGGAUUUGCACCCAGCUCCACCCAUCUCCUUACCUACCCAGAGGCACACAUCUCACAGGCAAGAUGAGUGUUUGGGGUUCAGGUAUGAGCUAGGGUCAUGGAACAACGCAGUGCUCCUGGGCCAGCAGGAGGCUCCAGCUCACUUCCUCAUUGGCUUCAGCUUCUCUAAUGUCUGGCACAUGAGUUCUGGCUUAGAGUGCAAGGAAGACUGCAAAGGGAAAUGACAGAGAAGAGUAUUGAAGGUCACCUUCUGCUGGGAUGUAUGAAUAGCCUCUGAGUCCCAAAGCGUUCUCUGCAAAAAUGUGUACUAUGUGUAUGCAUGUAGGCGACAGCAAUUAUAAACAGGAAGGACACCAAUUUGAAUAUACUUAGGAUGUAUAUUCUGUAGUCUCCUUUUCAUUCAUCCCGCCAAUCUUGCAGUGACCUAGCUUCGUGAUAUAUUUCUUUAGCUAGGUCAGGGGGUUUUGGUCCAGGUUUCCCCCUCCCUGGUGAAACGGCAGAAGACCCACUUUCAUGAUUUGCCAUGUGGUGCCUCAGUGAUUCUCGGUAACAACGGCUUCAUCUGGAUUUACCCAACACCUGAGCACAAAGAAGAGGAAGCAGGGGGCUUCAUUGCAAACCUGGAGCCUGUCUCUCUUGCUGAUCGAGAGGUGAUAUCCCGGCUUCGGAACUGCAUCAUCUCGCUGGUAACUCAGAGGAUGAUGCUGUAUGAUACCAGCAUCCUGUACUGCUAUGAAGCAUCCCUUCCACAUCAGAUCAAAGACAUCUUAAAGCCAGAAAUAAUGGAGGAGAUUGUGAUGGAAACACGCCAGAGGCUUUUGGAACAGGAGGGAUAAGGAGGUGCUCCAGAAGCACGGGACUGUGGACCUUGCAGGAGUGAAGACUGUGAUGUGUGGUCCCCAUAUGUGGCUCAGCAAAGACUCGAGAGAUCAUCCCUUUGUCUGCAUUGACGGCCCUGUGACGGCCUCCAGCCCACAGGCCUGCUUUCUCCUGUCCUAACACCAAGCCUGGGUGGCAGAUGAACAGUGCUUCCUUGGGUUGCCAGCUGAGUCCCGGUAUUAGGGAAUAGUUUCAGCUCUUUCAAAGUGCACAGUGUUACAGUCGAAUGGGCUCCCAUCCUGGAAUAAUAUGGAGAAUCCUUUGUCUUCCACUCACUGUCAUUCACAAGGCACAGUGCCCCAUGAAAUUGCCCCAAUAGAAAACAUGGCAUCCCUGACCUCCAAAUGGUCUGUUUUGGCCUCCAUUCCUAUAUCCUUUAAAUGACUGAGAAUGCAGCUGGUAAAGUUGGAAGAAUAAAGUUAACCAAGCAGGCCAGGCACGGUGGCUCACGCCUAUAAUCCCAGCACUUAGGGAGGCCAAGGCGGGCAGAUCACCUGAGGUCAAUAGUUCGAGACCAGCCUGGCCAACAAGGUGAAACCCCAUCUCUACUAAAAAUACAAAAAAUUAGCCAGGUGUGGUGGUGUGCACCUGUAGUCCCAGCUAUUUGGGAGGCUGAGGUGGGAGAAUCACUUGAACCUGGGAGGCGGAGGUUGCAGUGAGCUGAAAUCGCGUACCACACUCCAGCCUGGGUGACAGAGCGAGACUGUGUUUCAAAGAAAAAAAAAAACAAGCAGCCUUUUGCUUGGUUGGAAUCUGAUUUUCUGUUGCGUGUUCCUUGUAGCCAUAGAUGUGAUUAUGUCCACACCGGGCUGCCUUAAUCUGUCCUGCUUGGAGAGUGACUUGUAAGAUGCUGAAUUAUUCAUGAUAAUACAGUGAAUGUUCUGGGUCCAUGUACUCAGAUAAACAUGAAGAAAAUAAGCAAAGAAAAAUGGAGACUGGGAAAGCAAAGCUGUUUUCAUCCUAUAAUUGAAGUAGUGUGGAGCAUUAACUUGUGGAUGAUUCAGAGUUAAAAGAUAAAAAGACGCCAGAGUUCUCGCUGAAGAAUGUGAGAAUUCCUGUGCAUUGUUUUUUCUGAUG